rnacentral:rRNA from 1 species
CUAAGGCUCCAGAGGAAGCCACGGCUAACUCUGUGCCAGCAGCCGCGGUAAUACAGAGGCGGCAAGCGUUGUUCGGAAUUAUUGGGCGUAAAGAGCACGUAGGCGGCCUUGCAAGUCAGUUGUGAAAGCCUUCCGCUUAACGGAAGAAUGCCAGCUGAUACUACAGGGCUUGAGUACGGGAGGGGAGAGUGGAACUUCUGGUGGAGCGGUGAAAUGCGUAGAUAUCAGAAGGAACGCCGGCGGCGAAAGCGACUCUCUGGCCCGAAACUGACGCUGAGUGCGCGAAAGCUAGGGGAGCAAACGGGAUUAGAUACCCCGGUAGUCCUAGCCGUAAA